UGAGGAAUAUUGGUCAAUGGGCGCGAGCCUGAACCAGCCAAGUCGCGUGAGGGAUGACGGCCCUACGGGUUGUAAACCUCUUUUGUUCGGGGAGCAAAUUCCGCCACGUGUGGCGGAGUCGAGAGUACCCGAAGAAAAAGCAUCGGCUAACUCCGUGCC
rnacentral:rRNA from 1 species